CGCGCAUCACGCAAGCAUUUCGCAUUUAUUAAUAUGCAAAUGACCAAACAAUAAACUUUAUAGCUGCUGUGCCAAAAACAAACAUUAAGCAACAGUCGGUGAGUGUGACACAUUCAUAAACGCACGUGCUACCUAGAAUGCCAUUUUAGGGAGGGCCUGAGUCGCACGAGACGAGUCCGACGCGCGCGAGAGAUCUCUGCUCCCAGCUGCUGUCGCACAAGGCACGCGAGUGUGCACGAUCCAGGUAAACCCAAUAAAAAGGCGAAAGGCAGUGGUGACAGUCGGGACAGCGCAAAACUUACAAGGAUAUUGCCAUGAAUGAAAAUAUUGCGGCGCAUUCGUGAGGAAAGACAUCAAUUUCUCCUUAGAAGAAAGUUAUUUGCGGGGUUUAGUGAAGACUUCAUCUUAAUGUCAUGCCUUGUGACAGCAAUCGGAACUAGAAUUGGAAAAACUUUUCUUCAACUCUUUUAGUAACCAUGUUAAGAUGAUAUUUCACGGCUAUGGACAUAAAAUGCAGGAUUGUUACAUAUGAUACAGCGAUUUAAACGGUGGAAUCCAGCAGAGCCGACAGGCAAGGAAGCGAUACAGCAGCUCCAUGUCAGAGCUUCCCAUGGGAGGGAAGAGUGUCCAACUUUCACCAACAGCCAGCCACCAGAUUGAAAGCCGGCUCCGUGCCGCUGAAAUGUGAGUCUAGGAAGAGGACCCAAAAGGCAGCAAGAAAAAUGAGGGACUUUUAGGGGCAGCUGUGUUUUAUUAACCCAGUCAUAAUGCCCCUAAAAAUCCUUAUUGCUCUUGCAAUUUUCAGCAUCCCUACAUGGAAAGGCACAACUGAGCAGAGAUUAAUGGAGAGACAUGCUCUAAACUGAAAAGGACACGCAUAAUCUCAUCUAAAAAAAAUUGGGGGGGCUCUUUCGAAGCUAUGUUAAUAUAGUUUUUUGAUUUAGGUGUCAUCUUUGUUUCAAAUAAUAUUCCUAAAAUUUCUUAGGAGUAGAAACAAAUGAAAGAAGUGUUGGCAUACAGUACAGUAAGAGCAUAGAGCUCUAUAUUAUUUUAGAUAGCUUAGCCCAAAAUAAUUUUAUUUUAGAAAAGUUCAUAUUGACUUUUAAAUCUUGGCAAAUCUGAGCACAGUUUGAGACGGUGGUAAAAUCUCUGUUGAAACUCAAACUAGGACAAGAGAAAUAACUAAAAAAGCAGAAUACCUAAAAUAAAGAAAAAUAACUUUAAAAAUCAUCCAAUUUUUCUUUUUCAUUUCCUGUUAUUUUUUGCAUAUAGUGGUUGAAUUUAACCUUCGAAUCGUGUACUUGUUGCACAGCCAACUAUUUGUAAAAGAUGCUGUAUAAAUAAUGCAAAUUAUACUAUAUGUGAUUUAUGUAAAUGAUUCUGUAAUUAUACCUAUGGCUUUCAUUAAUGCAAUGCAAUGUAUGUUUUCUCAUUCAAACCAAUACAGAGACUAUAUUUGAGAAGUGA